CAUACGAUGCCAAACUGCGCUCGGCAUCUCGAUCUUCCGAUCAAAAUUUGUCUUCCCAUCGGACGUGCGAGAGUAUCUCUCUGAACGAUAUAAGGUGAAAUGGGUCCUGCGGACACCUGAGACGUUUUAAGCUCUGGACGCGGUGUAUCGAGGAAAAGAAGUGCUGGCCGAGGAAAUUUUCGACGAAAUUCGUCGCUUCUAGACGAUUAGAGCGCCUCGGUUACCUUUGAGGUUCAUCUUCGCGCAGGCUACGUUGGGAAGAUGCGUGAAGUGCUGCGGUUGAUCGACC
rnacentral:lncRNA from 1 species